CCUACGGGAGGCUGCAGUGGGGAAUAUUGCACAAUGGGGGAAACCCUGAUGCAGCGACGCCGCGUGAGUGAAGAAGUAUCUCGGUACGUAAAGCUCUAUCAGCAGGGAAGAAAAUGACGGUACCUGACUAAGAAGCACCGGCUACCUACGUGCCAGCAGCCGCGGUAAUACGUAGGGGGCAAGCGUUAUCCGGAUUUACUGGGUGUAAAGUGAGCGUAGGCGGGAGCACAAGUCUGGAGUGAAAUCCCGGGGCGUAACCCGGGAACUGCUUUGGAAACUGUGCGGCUGGAGUGCCGGAGGGGGAAGCGGAAUUCCUAGUGUAGCGGUGAAAUGCGUAGAUAUUAGGAGGAACACCGGUGGCGAAGGCGGCUUACUGGACUGUAACUGACGUUGAGGCGCGAAAGCGUGGGGAGCAAACAGGAUUAGAUACCCGUGUAGUC
rnacentral:rRNA from 1 species